AGCUCUCCGAGUGGUAGGGAUGAUUAUUGGGCUUAAAGCGUCCGUAGCCGGCCUAGCAAGUCUUCCGUUAAAUCCACCGAUUCAAUCGUUGGACUGCGGGAGAUACUGUUGGGCUAGGGGGCGGGAGAGGCCGACGGUAUUCUCGGGGUAGGGGUAAAAUCCUAUAAUCCCGGGAGGACCACCAGUGGCGAAGGCGGUCGGCUAGAACGCGCUCGACGGUGAGGGACGAAAGCUGGGGGAGCGAACCGGAUUAGAUACCCGAGUAGUCC
rnacentral:rRNA from 1 species